rnacentral:rRNA from 1 species
CCUACGGGAGGCUGCAGUGGGGAAUAUUGGACAAUGGGGGCAACCCUGAUCCAGCCAUGCCGCGUGUGUGAAGAAGGCCCUCGGGUUGUAAAGCACUUUCAGUGAGGAAGAACGCCUGGUGGUUAAUACCCAUCAGGAAAGACAUCACUCACAGAAGAAGCACCGGCUAACUCCGUGCCAGCAGCCGCGGGAAUACGGAGGGUGCGAGCGUUAAUCGGAAUUACUGGGCGUAAAGCGCGCGUAGGUGGCUUGAUAAGCCGGUUGUGAAAGCCCCGGGCUCAACCUGGGAACGGCAUCCGGAACUGUCAAGCUAGAGUGCAGGAGAGGAAGGUAGAAUUCCCGGUGUAGCGGUGAAAUGCGUAGAGAUCGGGAGGAAUACCAGUGGCGAAGGCGGCCUUCUGGACUGACACUGACACUGAGGUGCGAAAGCGUGGGUAGCAAACAGGAUUAGAUACCCCGGUAGUC